rnacentral:tRNA from 1 species
GGACGUGUAGCGCAGCCUGGAUAGCGCGUCAGCCUUCUAAGCUGAGGGUCGUGGGUUCAAAUCCCACCACGUCCG